UACGUAGGUGACAAGCGUUGUCCGGAUUUACUGGGCGUAAAGAGCGCGCAGGCGGUCGAUCAAGUCGAGUGUGAAAGCCCCCGGCUCAACUGGGGAGGGUCAUUCGAUACUGAUCGACUCGAAGGCAGGAGAGGGUAGUGGAAUUCCCGGUGUAGUGGUGAAGUGCGUAGAUAUCGGGAGGAACACCAGUGGCGAAGGCGACUACCUGGCCUGUUCUUGACGCUGAGGCGCGAAAGCUAGGGUAGCAAACGGG
rnacentral:rRNA from 1 species